AGAGUUUGAUCAUGGCUCAGAUUGAACGCUGGCGGCAGGCCUAACACAUGCAAGUCGAACGGUAACAGGAAGCAGCUUGCUGCUUUGCUGACGAGUGGCGGACGGGUGAGUAAUGUCUGGGAAACUGCCUGAUGGAGGGGGAUAACUACUGGAAACGGUAGCUAAUACCGCAUAACGUCGCAAGACCAAAGAGGGGGACCUUAGGGCCUCUUGCCAUCGGAUGUGCCCAGAUGGGAUUAGCUAGUAGGUGGGGUAACGGCUCACCUAGGCGACGAUCCCUAGCUGGUCUGAGAGGAUGACCAGCCACACUGGAACUGAGACACGGUCCAGACUCCUACGGGAGGCAGCAGUGGGGAAUAUUGCACAAUGGGCGCAAGCCUGAUGCAGCCAUGCCGCGUGUAUGAAGAAGGCCUUCGGGUUGUAAAGUACUUUCAGCGGGGAGGAAGGGAGUAAAGUUAAUACCUUUGCUCAUUGACGUUACCCGCAGAAGAAGCACCGGCUAACUCCGUGCCAGCAGCCGCGGUAAUACGGAGGGUGCAAGCGUUAAUCGGAAUUACUGGGCGUAAAGCGCACGCAAGCGGUUUGUUAAGUCAGAUGUGAAAUCCCCGGGCUCAACCUGGGAACUGCAUCUGAUACUGGCAAGCUUGAGUCUCGUAGAGGGGGUAGAAUUCCAGGUGUAGCGGUGAAAUGCGUAGAGAUCUGGAGGAAUACCGGUGGCGAAGGCGGCUCCUGGACGAGACUGACGCUCAGUGCGAAAGCGUGGGGAGCAAACAGAUAGAUACCCUGGUAGUCCACGCCGU
rnacentral:rRNA from 1 species